UACGUAGGGGGCAAGCGUUGUCCGGAAUCAUUGGGCGUAAAGAGCGUGUAGGCGGCUUGGCAAGUCUGGUGUGAAAAUCUUGCGGCUCAACCGCAAGCGGUCACUGGAAACUGCCUCGCUAGAGUCCGGAAGAGGAGAGCGGAAUUCCUGGUGUAGCGGUGGAAUGCGCAGAUAUCAGGAGGAACACCAUAUAGCAAGGCAGCUCGCUGGGACGUUACUGACACUGAGGCGCGAAAGCGUGGGGAGCGAACAGG
rnacentral:rRNA from 1 species